AUUGAACGCUGGCGGCAUGCCUUACACAUGCAAGUCGAACGGCAGCAUGAUCUAGCUUGCUAGAUUGAUGGCGAGUGGCGAACGGGUGAGUAAUACAUCGGAACGUGCCCUGUAGUGGGGGAUAACUAGUCGGAAGAUUAGCUAAUACCGCAUACGACCUGAGGGUGAAAGUGGGGGACCGCAAGGCCUCAUGCUAUAGGAGCGGCCGAUGUCUGAUUAGCUAGUUGGUGAGGUAAAGGCUCACCAAGGCGACGAUCAGUAGCUGGUCUGAGAGGACGAUCAGCCACACUGGGACUGAGACACGGCCCAGACUCCUACGGGAGGCAGCAGUGGGGAAUUUUGGACAAUGGGCGAAAGCCUGAUCCAGCAAUGCCGCGUGUGUGAAGAAGGCCUUCGGGUUGUAAAGCACUUUUGUCCGGAAAGAAAUGGCUCUGGUUAAUACCUGGGGUCGAUGACGGUACCGGAAGAAUAAGAACCGGCUAACUACGUG
rnacentral:rRNA from 1 species